CUCUCCCUCACUCCACUCUCCACUCUCCCUCUCACUCUUAAUUUUUCUUCUACUUUUCUCCAAGAAUUCUUCAUUCUUUGCAAAGAAUUGAAGUUGAAACUCAAGAAUUGUUGAAGAAUCAAGGGUGAUAAUCGCGCUCAAAGCAUGAUAGCAAAGGGAAGAAAGUACUUGAGAUCUAAGCAGUCGAGGUUAAGCGGCGACCAGCGGUUGGCGGUGUUGAGCAAC